rnacentral:rRNA from 1 species
UACGUAGGGGGCUAGCGUUGUCCGGAAUCAUUGGGCGUAAAGAGCGUGUAGGCGGCCCGGUAAGUCCGCUGUGAAAGUCGGGGGCUCAACCCUCGAAUGCCGGUGGAUACUGUCGGGCUAGAGUGCGGAAGAGGCGAGUGGAAUUCCGUGGUGUAGCGGUGAAAUGCGCAGAUAUCAGGAGGAACACCGAUUGCGAAGGCAGCUCACUAAGCUUUAACUGACACUGAGGCACGAAAAGUGUGGGGAUCAAACAGG